rnacentral:rRNA from 1 species
UGUUCGUGAAAUCUCACGGCUUAACUGUGAGCGUGCGGGCGAUACGGGCAGACUUGAGUACUGCAGGGGAGACUGGAAUUCCUGGUGUAGCGGUGGAAUGCGCAGAUAUCAGGAGGAACACCGGUGGCGAAGGCGGGUCUCUGGGCAGUAACUGACGCUGAGGAGCGAAAGCGUGGGGAGCGAACAGGAUUAGAUACCCUGGUAGUCCACGCCGUAAACGGUGGGUACUAGGUGUGGGUUUCCUUCCUUGGGAUCCGUGCCGUAGCUAACGCAUUAAGUACCCCGCCUGGGGAGUACGGCCGCAAGGCUAAAACUCAAAGAAAUUGACGGGGGCCCGCACAAGCGGCGGAGCAUGUGGAUUAAUUCGAUGCAACGCGAAGAACCUUACCUGGGUUUGACAUGCACAGGACGCCGGCAGAGAUGUCGGUUCCCUUGUGGCCUGUGUGCAGGUGGUGCAUGGCUGUCGUCAGCUCGUGUCGUGAGAUGUUGGGUUAAGUCCCGCAACGAGCGCAACCCUUGUCUCAUGUUGCCAGCGGGUAAUGCCGGGGACUCGUGAGAGACUGCCGGGGUCAACUCGGAGGAAGGUGGGGAUGACGUCAAGUCAUCAUGCCCCUUAUGUCCAGGGCUUCACACAUGCUACAAUGGCCGGUACAAAGGGCUGCGAUGCCGCGAGGUUAAGCGAAUCCUUUUAAAGCCGGUCUCAGUUCGGAUCGGGGUCUGCAACUCGACCCCGUGAAGUCGGAG